rnacentral:rRNA from 1 species
CGGACGGGUGAGUAACGCGUGGGUAACCUGCCUCAUACAGGGGGAUAACAGUUAGAAAUGACUGCUAAUACCGCAUAAGACCACAGCACCGCAUGGUGCAGGGGUAAAAACUCCGGUGGUAUGAGAUGGACCCGCGUCUGAUUAGGUAGUUGGUGGGGUAACGGCCUACCAAGCCGACGAUCAGUAGCCGACCUGAGAGGGUGACCGGCCACAUUGGGACUGAGACACGGCCCAG